AUUUAUGGGUUCCUUUCUUGGGAUUAAGCAUAAUUUUGUUUGGUUGGGGUUUUGGUAGAUGAGGUGGGUGGCUUUUCAAGACAGGGUUUCUCCCUGUCGUCCUGGCUAUCCCAGAAUUCUUUCUGUAAACCAGGCUGGACUUGAACUCAAAGAUCCACCUGCCUCUGCUUUCAGAGUGCUAGGAUUUAAGCAUGUGCCACUACUAUCUGGAAUUUUGUUUGUUUUUGUUUUUUUCUAUUUUAAGGUUAAGUAUAAUUUUGUAAUAAUCUUCCUUUAAUCUGAAAAGGUAAGUAUAAACCUUUGUUUAGGUGUACUGGGGGAGAGGACACCUCAAAGUUGCUUUCUUUUUUAUGUUAGGCUGGUCUCUUGAUACCAAAGUUGCUGGUAACUGUUUCAAAAUGCAAAAACAUGCAAUCUCUCAAGUUUCACAUUAUCUUACUAUUUAAACUCAUGCACAAGUUCCUGUAAACAAGAGAUCGUGUAAAUAUAUGAGCUCAUAGCAUAGCCACUGGCCAUAUGUUUUCCAAAGAUUAGUUACAUUCUUUGCAAUCAACAAUAGUAAAUAUCACCACCAGCUCAAAAUUGCUGUUUUCCAUGGGGGGGGGGCGUGUGGGGGAACAUUUAGAAGCUUGCAAACCUGUCGUGUUCCUGCCAUGUAUCUUGGAUACUAAAUCUUUGCCAUAGACUGACAGAAGUGAAAAACAACUAAAUUAAUAACAGUAAAAGGAAUCAUUAGCAUUUCCAAAACACUCCGUCCACUCUGAAGUAUUUAAAUGCUAAUUCCUGAUGUACAGAAAAGCACAUAUUUUCAGUCAGAAAAUUUCUGUAUAACUCAAUCUAAAGGAUGCACCCUGGGAGCAAGUACAGUGCCCAGGAUAUAAAAAGCAUACACCUAAAAAAAAAAUGAAUAGUUGAAACUUUUAAAUACUGAGCUAACUAAAAUGAUCAGACAGAGAGGAUGUGGCUGUAGCUCAGACUCAGAAGUCUGGGCCCCUGGUAGGAUCCCAAGUUCUAUUCUAUCCCCACAACGAGAUCAAGCACUUAAGGCGUGAGUAAUUAGGUAUCUGCAAUCAGUGCUAUGUGAGCUCAGGUCUAACAGAAAGCAUUGUCAGUGUGAAUCAAUCUGUGAGCUACAUAAACAAUGUCGAUUUUUGCCAGUCCCACCCAAGCUACGUAUUGGUUUAAGGACUGGUACCAAUGGUACUCAGCAGUGUUCAGGGAAACAGUGACAAAUCCUGAAGGCUGCCCUAACAACCUCAGACAAAUACUUAGGUCACCUUCAAAUGAAGCUUAUAUCACCUACCCCACUUUGCGCCUCCCCAAAACGAAAUCUUGGAGGGUGGGGAGAAUGUGGUAAGAAAAAUGUGUUGUUACCCCUUGUGAGCACUAAGAAAUAGCCAAAGGAACCGUUUAUUUGAAAAAACGAUAGACAUCAAAAAACAUUAAUUAAAUCAGGGUUUCUAACACUAGUAGGGAUGCAAAUGAUGCCCGCGUUGAGUCAAAGACAACUUUAAUCCAAAAACGAACAAUAACCGUGACAAAUCCUCAGGACGUUGCAACAUGGGACGUGGGUAAUUUGGAAGCCUACGUGACCUGCUGAGUCCUUCAGUAGUGAAGUGACCUGCAGCGAGUGAAAACUCAGCAAACACCCUCAUUCUGGCUGAACAAUGACCUAAAUAGUGGACUAGGAAAGGAGCAGAUGAUGUAUUCCAUUCAUCUGGUGGACCUCAAAUGCGCAAACAGUCCUUUACAAUUUAGUGCAACAAUUUGGACACUUUAGUCAUCGGAGUGUCUAGAAGAGGAAUGGGGGAGGAGAGAGAGAGAGAGAGAGAGGGAGGGAGAGAGAGAGAGAGAGAGAGAGAGAGAGAGAGAGAGAGAGGGAGAGAGAGAGAGAGAGAGAGAGAGAGAGAGAGAGAGAGAGAGAGAGAGAGAGAGAGAGAGAGAGAAUGAGAAUCAGACGAAGGCAAGAGAGCAAAAAGCACUAGGAAGCGGCUAACUGGUACGGGAGGAAAAAAAAAUUCUGGGACCAAGUGAAGCAGGUCACGAAACGACAGGGACGGCCAAAAGUGCCGCAGAACAAGCCUGUACAAAUUUCUUACUUUUCCUGGAUGUUUAACAGAGCUCCUUCAAAGCUCUCUCCCACUGUCCCCAGCCAAUCAGAAGAAGUUGGGGACAGGGUGAAAGUGGAUGCUGAGUGCCAGGUUUUUUUCUGCAUGUACUUCUGCACACCAGAAGAGGGCAUCAGGUCCCAUGGGACUGCAGUCAUAGAUGGCUGUGAGAUGCCAUGGGGGUGCUGGGAAUCUCUGGGAGAACAGCAAGUGCUCAUAACUCCUGAACUAUCUGUCAAUAACCUCAGACUAACCGAUACAUCCACCUCAGUUUCCUUAACAAGAUAUUUAAGAAGCUAGGUUACUGAAGACCACGGGCUCUCUGGAAUCCUACACAACUUCAGCACCAAACUGAAACUGAUUAGGUGUCCAGCAUUUUGGACUCAGCAGCUAUUGUGUAAGCCAAGCUAAUAAAUUCCCUUUAUAAUACAUGUUAA